ensembl:lncRNA
UUUUUUUUUUUUUUUUUUUUUUUUUUUUUUUCUUUCUGUCCUGUAGUAUAUGGAGUUGCAGGCCCAGGGAUCAGAUCUAAGCCAAAGUUGUGACCUCCACUACAGCUGUGGCAAUGCUGCAGCUGCUGCAAUGCUGGAUCCUUAACCCUACUAUGCUGGGCUGGGGAUCGGACCUGUGCCCUAGUGCUCCAAAGACCCUGUCGGUCCAGUUGUACCACAGUGGGAAUUCCCGUUUUUCCUUUUUCUAUGUGACCCACAGAUGCCGGAGUACCUGUUACCUUCUUUUCUAUUCUUUAUGCCUUCUCCCUAUAUGAUCUUAUCAGUCCUUCUGCUUUAAAAACUAUCUGCUAACAAUUCCUAAAUUUAUAUUGUAGGCUAGACUUCCUUUCUGAGCUCUAGAUUUACGUUUUUAAAUAUCUUCUUGACAUUUCUCUUGUAUGUCUCCUAGGCAUUUCAAAUUGAACAUGACAAAAAUGAAUUUCUGUCUCUAAAUCUGGAUCUCCCUCAGUCUUGACCAUCUCAAUAGCUGGUGUUAUGACGAAAUGUCACCCUCAACUCUUCCUUUUUAUUCACUCCUCAGGACUCCUUCCUCCUCAUCUGAUUUUUCCUCCAUCCCAUUUACCACCAUUUUCUGUUAUUUUGACCUUCAACGUAUAGCUCUAUACUCUUUAAAAAAAUGUAAAUCAGAUCAUGUCAGUUCCCUGCUUUAAAUGAACAGAAUAAAAUCCAAAACCUAUACAGCCAGUUCUGCAUGUGUGAUUCUUUCCUCCUUUUCUAGAUCAAUUUCUUGCCUCUUGCCACUGUCCACUCACUCAUUUUCUCAUUGCAGCCUCCUGUCAUCUCCUGGAAUGAAGUGUCCUUUCUCUCUCAGAGCCUCUGUAUUGCUGGCUAUCUAUCUGGCCUACUUUCUUCUCAAGUCUUUACAUGGCUGAUUCCUUUCUACCCUUCAGGUUUUGGCUUAAAUGCUUAGAGCCUCCAUGUUAACCCACACAUGGAUUUAUGUGAAGUAGGAAAAGGCACCCUUCUGGAGAGCACCGAGUCGGUUGAGUUUGAACCCCCACAGGCAGCAGUCUAAAUACCACCUCUCAGAGAUGUUUUUCUUAACCACCUUACCACAUUAAUAUUGUUAUUCUGGAUCACAGCACUCUGUUUCCUUUAUAGUUCUCCAGGCAAUCUGUAACUUUUAACUAAUUUUUUUUUUUUACUUAUUUGUUUAUAGUCUAUUACCCCCACUUAGGCCAGGACCUUUAUCAAGUUCACUAUCAUAAACCUAUAGCCUACUAGUGCCUGGUUCAUGUAGGUGGUUCAUUGAAUAUUUGUUGAAUGAAUAAAUGAAGGAAACUGUGCUCUGAAGUUUCAUAAGACUGUGAAAAAGAAAAUGGUUUAAGUAAUCCAGUUCGUUUUUCUUUUCUUUUUUCUCCUAGGGGCCACACCAACAGCAUAUGGAAAUUCCCAGGCUAGGGGUUGAAUUGGAGCUACAGCUGCUGGCUUACGCCACAGCCACAGCUACACCAAAUCUGAGCUGCAUCUGAAACCUUACACUGCAGCUCACAGCCAGAUCCUUAACCCGCUGAAUGGGGCCAGGGAUUGAACACACAUCCUCAUGGAUAUUAAUUGGGUUCAUUACCACUGAGCCACAAUGGAAACUCCCAAGUCAUCCAGUUCUGUUUUCCAUGAACAUAUUUCAUCUGAAGAUUUUUUUCCUUCACAUUUUCUUUUACUAUUUAAUUAUUUCACUCCUUGAAUUUUUCUGUUCUCUAUAUCCCGAAACCUCUUUUUGACAUAUCAUAGUAUUUAGUGGGAUUUAUCCCAUUGCCCUAGAGUUGGUGAUAUGUCAAGCUAAGCAUAAAGAGAUGUUAAAGAUCUCAUUUUAAAGAGGAAGCCUCAACAAUUAGAGCGCUGCUCCUUCCAAGCCUAACCUGUUUUCCCACCUAUCCUCAGUGCCUAUGACUAGAAGACUGAGAAAGAAACUGUCAGCAUUGUUGUAGGCCAGGGUAUAGCAUCUUUUCCAUGGGGAGCAGGGAAGUGAGUUUCC